AGAAUGUGUUAGCUGUUAUCAUCAGUUCUUCAUUGCUGCAGUGAGUGGAAGAAGAAGAACUAAGAGAAGUGUACUUUUCACAGUAUUCAGACUUCGGGCAGGAUUCUCCUACCUCAAAGGAAGUCCGCAGUCCAAGCUAACGCAGAUUCAGGCUUCAGAGCAAGACAAGAACCAGUCCUGCAAAUUACAUUUGGUGCUCUGAAGAGUGCCAUUGUGGAGUACAGCAGUCUGAUUUGAAGUGCACAUGACCACAAUGCUGAGAUGCACUGCAGUGUUCUGUGUUACUUGGAGUGUCCUUAACGCCAAAGGCUGUGUGCCUAGUUACUCUGCAUUACUAGAUGCCAGCCAGGAGGUGACACAAGUGUGAAGAACUGCAGCCAGGUCAUUCCCUCCCAGGACUGAAUGAAGUCUUCUAGCCAAAAAGAGUUGACAGAAAGCACUAUUCACAAAUUCUCCAGUUGAGAGUCAGCAAGGCAUCGAGGAGCUAUGAAAUCUGAUUUCUCAGCCUAGAACAUUCUUUCUUUGGCUUCAGAAGUUUAACCAAAAGAUGAUUCAAAUUAAAAAUAACAAAUUCAAAAUAAGAAGUCUUCAUUGAGCUUGUAUAAUAGGAAAAAAAGAAAUAGAGAAAGUUUAUGUCACUCUGGAUACUUGCUUUUCCAGCAGGAUUAGAUGAGCUGCCUCUGAAGAAGCCCAUCCCAUCCCCUUGACUCUAAACAGAGCUGAGGCAACAUGUGUCUAACUUUCAGAUAGCUAAACAUGGCCAAGGAAAGUCCACCUGUAGUCCUCUAAGUCCCUUGACUUUCCCUUCGAUGCCUUUGAAGAAUGUUUGCCUUCUCUGCGCUCACAAGCACUUCACCG